rnacentral:rRNA from 1 species
UAAAGAUUCAUCGCUGAUAGAUAGGCAUGCGUUCCAUUAGGCAGUUGGCGGGGUAACGGCCCACCAAACCGACGAUGGAUAGGGGUUCUGAGAGGAAGGUCCCCCACAUUGGUACUGAGACACGGACCAAACUCCUACGGGAGGCAGUAGUGAGGAAUAUUGGUCAAUGGGCGUAAGCCUGAACCAGCCAAGUCGCGUGAGGGAUGAAGGUUCUAUGGAUCGUAAACCUCUUUUAUAAGGGAAUAAAGUGCGGGACGUGUCCCGUUUUGUAUGUACCUUAUGAAUAAGGAUCGGCUAACUCCGUGCCAGCAGCCGCGGUAAUACGGAGGAUCCGAGCGUUAUCCGGAUUUAUUGGGUUUAAAGGGUGCGUAGGCGGCCUUUUAAGUCAGCGGUGAAAGUCUGUGGCUCAACCAUAGAAUUGCCGUUGAAACUGGGAGGCUUGAGUAUGUUUGAGGCAGGCGGAAUGCGUGGUGUAGCGGUGAAAUGCUUAGAUAUCACGCAGAACCCCGAUUGCGAAGGCAGCCUGCCAAGCCAUGACUGACGCUGAUGCACGAAAGCGUGGGGAUCAAACAGGAUUAGAUACCCUGGUAGUCCACGCAGUAAACGAUGAUCACUAGCUGUUUGCGAUACACAGUAA